rnacentral:rRNA from 1 species
CAAGUCGAANGGCAGCACGGGUGCUUGCACUGGUGGCGAGUGGCGAACGGGUGAGUAAUACAUCGGAACAUGUCNGUAGUGGGGGAUAGCCCGGCGAAAGCCGGAUUAAUACCGCAUACGAUCUACGGAUGAAAGCGGGGGACUUUCGGGCCUCGCGCNAUAGGGUUGGCCGAUGGCUGAUAGCUAGUUGGUGGGGUAAAGGCCUACCAGGCGACGAUCAGUAGCUGGUCUGAGAGGACGACCAGCCACACUGGGACUGAGACACGGCCCAGACUCUACGGGAGGCAGCAGUGGGGAAUUUUGGACAAUGGGCGAAAGCCUGAUCCAGCAAUGCCGCGUGUGUGAAGAAGGCCUUCGGGUUGUAAAGCACUUUUGUCCGGAAAGAAAUCCUUGGCNCUAAUACGGUCGGGGGAUGACGGUACCGGAAGAAUAAGCACCGGCUAACUACGUGCCAGCAGCCGCGGUAAUACGUAGGGUGCAAGCGUUAAUCGGAAUUACUGGGCGUAAAGCGUGCGCAGGCGGUUUGCUAAGACCGAUGUGAAAUCCCCGGGCUCAACCUGGGAACUGCAUUGGUGACUGGCAGGCUAGAGUAUGGCAGAGGGGGGUAGAAUUCCACGUGUAGCAGUGAAAUGCGUAGAGAUGUGGAGGAAUACCGAUGGCGAAGGCAGCCCCCUGGGCCAAUACUGACGCUCAUGCACGAAAGCGUGGGGAGCAAACAGGAUUAGAUACCCUGGUAGUCCACGCCCUAAACGAUGUCAACUAGUUGUUGGGGAUUCAUUUCCUUAGUAACGUAGCUAACGCGUGAAGUUGACCGCCUGGGGAGUACGGUCGCAAGAUUAAAACUCAAAGGAAUUGACGGGGACCCGCACAAGCGGUGGAUGAUGUGGAUUAAUUCGAUGCAACGCGAAAAACCUUACCUACCCUUGACAUGGUCGGAAUCCUGCUGAGAGGCGGGAGUGCUCGAAAGAGAACCGGCGCACA